ensembl:lncRNA
CCGUGACGUUGCUGCUCAGUGACGGAGUCCCAGAAUCUGUGGCGACAACUUGGAACUGGAACGUUUUCAGGGUUUCAAAGUCAAAACUUUUUAAGCCAAAAUAUCUCCAUUUUCAGAGUUGAUGCUCAAAAACAGACCUAAAUUAUCUCUACUGCUGUCCCUUGGGAUAUGAUAUGAAAUUUGCGCAUUGUCACUAUCGUCAAGGUCAGAUGCACUCACUUUAAAUACUGGUGCUACUGGGUUAUUGUUUUCAGUUAUAUAUAACGUAUAUGGGCUCAGUGUAAACUGAGGUCUGUUGUCGUUUACGUCUGAUACAACAACAUUUAUUUUUUUUUCAGAUGAGAACGACGGUUCACCACCAUCUUUUGCAAUGAUUGUCAUGUCAUAAAUGUGUUUUUCUUCUCUGUCCAGUGGUGAUUUCGUCACUAUCGCGUACAUAUUUUCUUGCAUGGAUGGAGAAAUAGAAAAAGGGACAUUCUCACGUAUUAAGCAGGAAACCUGCCCAUUGGGGCCUGAAUCCAAAUCAUGAACACUGAUUAAAGCCACAGUUGUUCCAAUUCUAGAAUCUUCAAGAACUGAUUUGGAAAAUGAAGUAAUUUCAAUCUCUGGGGGAUUAUCAUUAAGGUCAAUAACCUUGAUUAUCACAGUUCUGUCUGUGGAUAAAGGGACAGUUCCCUUAUCUGAAACUUGAAUGUCAAUUAUAAAACUUUCCUCUAAUUCAAAAUCUAUCAGAUCUUGAACAAUAAUUUCACCUGUAUUUGCAUCCGCACGAAAAAUGUCACGUAUUCUACUGUUCACAUUCUUUCCUAAUGAAUACACAAUCAGUCCAUUGGAUCCUUCAUCUAAAUCCGAAGCAUUUACUUUUAUAAUAGUUGUACCAAUAGGAGCAUUUUCUUCCAAAAGUAAUGAGUAGGUUUCUUGGUCAAAAACUGGAAAAUUGUCAUUAACGUCUAACACGUCGACCGUAAUUUCAGCUGUUCCAGAUUUACAUGGUUUCCCUCCAUCAAGAGCUGUGAGAAGCAACGUAUGACUCUUCUUUGUUUCUCUAUCUAGCGUCUUGAGUAAAACUAAUACAGGUAUCUUCCCAUCUUUUCCACGAUCUUUGACUUCCAAACGAAAAUGAUCAUUAUGAUUUAGUUUAUACUCCUGUACCGAAAACUGACCAACAUCCGGGUCCUGUGCCGCUUGCAGCUGGAGACGCAAACCUGGUAAAACCGACUCGGAAAUUUCGAGACGUGAGUCUUUCGUUGAGAAGGUGGGAGAGUGGUCGUUCACAUCCAGCACCUCAACGGUCACAUAAUGAAUUUCAAGAGGGUUUUCCAGCACAGUCUUUAAAUUGAUCAAACAAACAUUGCCUCGCUCACAAACCUUCUCUCUGUCGAUUAUUCGAUCAACAUACAGUAUUCCGUCGUCCUGGUUCACGUGAAAAAAUGACUCUUUUGAACUCUCAACAAUACGGCAUCCUCUCUCUUUCAAAGUGCUCGUAUCUAAUCCCAAAUCCUUCGCUAUAUUCCCGACAACCGCUCCUGCUUCGAUUUCCUCAGCGAUGGAGUAUCUUAGUUGCGCUGAAGCUCUGCUCCAAACCAAAAAAAUCAAAACAAUAAAAGCAGUCGGCCGACAUUUCCCUCGUGAUGUUCCAAGUCGAAUAUGCUCCAUAACCAAAAGAUACGAAUGCAUCCCGAUGAGUCAGAAUAUUGUUGUCUUCAAGACAAGAAACGUAGAUCGACUAAAAAUAAUGUUUAAGACUUUCAAGAUUAUUAAAUGCACGGAUUCUGAAUAUUCGCCGUGGGAGAACAAGGCGCC